rfam:Schistosoma rodhaini strain Burundi genome assembly, scaffold: SROB_scaffold0009508
GAAGAGUCCCACAAUAGGACGAAACGGCCGUC